CUACGGGGCGCACCAGUGGGGAAUAUUGGACAAUGGGGGAAACCCUAAUCCAGCAAUGCCGCGUGUGUGAAGAAGGCCUGCGGGUUGUAAAGCACUUUCGGUUGGGAGGACUGCUUCUAGCACUAAUAUUGUUGGAAGUUGACGUUACCUUCAGAAGAAGCACCGGCUAACUCCGUGCCAGCAGCCGCGGUAAUACGGAGGGUGCAAGCGUUAAUCGGAAUUACUGGGCGUAAAGCGCGCGUAGGCGGCUAGAUCAGUCGGGUGUGAAAGCCCCGGGCUUAACCUGGGAACUGCAUCCGAUACUGGCUAGCUUGAGUACAGGAGAGGAGAGUGGAAUUCCACAUGUAGCGGUGAAAUGCGUAGAUAUGUGGAGGAACACCAAUGGCGAAGGCAGCUCUCUGGCCUGAUACUGACGCUGAGGUACGAAAGCGUGGGGAGCAAACAGGAUUAGAUACCCUAGUAGUC
rnacentral:rRNA from 1 species